rnacentral:rRNA from 1 species
GUGUCAGCAGCCGCGGUAAUACGAACUGUGCAAACGUUAUUCGGAAUCACUGGGCUUACAGGGUGCGUAGGUGGUUAGAAAAGUCAGGUGUGAAAUCCCCCAGCUCAACUGGGGAAUGGCGCUUGAAACUCUCUGACUGGAGUGAGCUAGGGGUACUUGGAACUGCCAGUGGAGCGGUGAAAUGUGUUGAUAUUGGCAGGAACACCGGAGCCGAAAGGGAAGUACUGGGGCUUAACUGACACUGAGGCACGAAAGCCAGGGGAGCAAACGGGAUUAGAAACCCGCGUAGUCC